GCGGACGUGGCGCAGUUGGUAGCGCACAACCUUGCCAAGGUUGGGGUCGCGGGUUCGAAUCCCGUCGUCCGCU
rnacentral:tRNA from 4 species